UACGAAGGGGGCUAGCGUUGUUCGGAUUUACUGGGCGUAAAGCGCGUGUAGGCGGGCUGGAAAGUUGGGGGUGAAAUCCCGGGGCUCAACCUCGGAACUGCCUCCAAAACUUCCAGCCUGGACUCAAGCAGAGGCAAGUGGAAUUGCGAGUGUAGAGGUGAAAUUCGUAGAUAUUCGCAGGAACACCAGUGGCGAAGGCGACUUGCUGGGCUUGUGGUGACGCUGAGACGCGAAAGCGUGGGGAGCAAACAGG
rnacentral:rRNA from 1 species